CCUUGGUCUACUGCCAAAGUUUCUUUUUUUUUUUUUUACAUUUGUUUUUAUUUAAGUUCGAUUUGCAUGCCAAAGUUUCAAGGCAAGUCUCCUCAUAUGAUAAAAAUAAGCAAAGAAUACAUACAGAGAAGGUAUAUCCAGAAUACAUUUUUGGGGGGUGCCUUUCUGUUUUGGAAGCUUUCAUCAAUAUCUAGAUUAUGGAGGUGGUUGAGGCAUAUCUUGAGACAUGGCACCACUCAGCAAUUUUGUAGGACUGAUGUCAUUUGACAAAUAUAAAAGGUUGUAUCAAAGAAUGGAAGACCAGUUCAGUCACAAUGAUCAGACUCCUACAACUAGGAAUACCGUAUACUGAUAUGAAAGUUGUACUCUGUGCAAAGGUGUCAGGUGAAAGGUUUGAGUAGGGCUGAAACAUGGUUUGUACUUCAGUUACUGAGUCUUGUGCUUCCUUACAGGCCUGACAGCCAGGAGGAAGGAGUGACUUAUUUGAAAGCUGUCCACCCGGGGGGGGGGGGGCACUUUUCAGCAUUUCAUAAACCUGAAUAGGUGUUUUAUUUUAAGUCACACAAAGGGCCAGUAUCUGGUAGGGGUGGCCCUACCGUCAACUAUUUACAUGAAGAAUUUCUUUCGAUACUACCUUAUACUUGGCUGAAAUAAGACACAUAUGGACACUUCAGUGUCUUGCCUGUUUCUGCCACAGUUUUAUUAAGACUUCACAAUGGAAAUGGAAGUGUCUGUUUAUCUUUGUGUGGUAAACAUAACACAGAUCAUUAAAGCAGGAGUUUGAGAUCAACUCUGCAAUUCUUUAAUCUUUUGAAUAAAUUGAUCCCUUGUCCAGAAAAUUUAGUAUCAAUUAAAGGUAAAAGAAUCUUGAAAAAAAAAAUAAGAAUCUUGGUCAGUAAUGAAGCUGAAAAGAGAGGAAAAGAAAGGCAAUGGAUCACAAAUGUAGAUUCAGGAAAAUCAUAACUUAUUAAAAUGUAAUAAUGUUUGUAUCAUAGGAGCCCCAGAAGAUGAAGAGAAAGAAAAAGAGGCAGAAGGUUUAUUCAAAUUAUAGAUGAAAACUUCCCUAAUCUGUGGAAGGACACAGACAUCAAGAUCCAAGACGCACAGAGAACUCCCAUUAAAUUCAACAAAAGCUGACCAUUGCCAAGGCAUAUCAUAGUCAAAUUUACAAAAUAUACAAAGAAAGAAUCCUGAAAGCAGCAAGGGGGAAAAAAGCCCUUAACCUAUGAGAGAAGACAGAUCAGGUUUGCAGUAGAUCUGCCCACAAAAACUUGGCAGGCCAGAAAAGAGUGGCAGGAUAUAUUCAAGGUGCUGAAUGGGGAAAAUAAGUAGCCAAGAAUUCUUUCUAUCUAUCUAUCUAUCUAUCUAUCUAUCUAUCUAUCUAUCUAUCAUCUAUCUAUCUAUCUGAGAAUGAGAGAGAGACCAUGAGCAUGAGGGGCAGAGGAAGAGGAGCAAGGAAACUCCAUGCUGAGCACAGAGCCUGAUGAAGGGCUCAAUAUCAUAACCUUGAGAUCAUAACCUGAGCCAAAACUAAGAGUCAGAUGCUUAACUGACUGUACUACUUAGGCACCCCUGCAGCCAAGAAUUCUUUAUCCAGCAAGGCUGUCAUUCAGAAUAGAAGGAGAAACGAAGAGUUUCCCAGACAAACAAAAAAUAAAGGAAUUUGUGACAACUAAACUAGCACUGCAAGAAUUUUAAGGGGAACUCUCUGAGUGGAGAAAAAAAGGAUAUAAAAGAAACAGAGGGGCAGCCCCGGUGGCGCAGCGGUUUAGCGCCGCCUGCAGCCCAGGGCGUGAUCCUGGAGACCCUGGAUCGAGUCCCACGUCGGCUCUCUGUAUGAUGCCUGCUUCUCCCUCUGCCUGUGUCUCUGCCUCUCUCUCUCUCUCUAUGAAU
rnacentral:lncRNA from 1 species